GAAAAUUUAGAUUCUGAGAGUAUUUUUGAAAGAAAAAUCAGAAACCAGGGGUCAAAACAUAAUUUAAAAAAGUUGUACCACGUCAGCUACCCGGUCAGUAGCUCCGACCAACCAGGAUGCGCCAGGUGGCAGAGACACUGACGCGGGUCCGCGUGCGCGCGAUCGAACAGCUGUGAUCCGUUCCCGUGCACAUGGAUGGCCCAGAUAAAAAACGCGCACGGACGAC
rnacentral:lncRNA from 1 species